ACGGGUGCGUAACGCGUGGGAAUCUGCCCUUUGGUUCGGAAUAACAGCUGGAAACGGCUGCUAAUACCGGAUGAUGACGAAAGUCCAAAGAUUUAUCGCCAGAGGAUGAGCCCGCGUUGGAUUAGGUAGUUGGUGGGGUAAAGGCCUACCAAGCCGACGAUCCAUAGCUGGUCUGAGAGGAUGAUCAGCCACACUGGGACUGAGACACGGCCCAGACUCCUACGGGAGGCAGCAGUGGGGAAUAUUGGACAAUGGGCGAAAGCCUGAUCCAGCAAUGCCGCGUGAGUGAUGAAGGCCCUAGGGUUGUAAGGCUCUUUUACCCGGGAAGAUAAUGACUGUACCGGGAGAAUAAGCCCCGGCUAACUCCGUGCCAGCAGCCGCGGUAAUACGGAGGGGGCUAGCGUUGUUCGGAAUUACUGGGCGUAAAGCGCACGUAGGCGGCUUUGUAAGUCAGAGGUGAAAGCCUGGAGCUCAACUCCAGAACUGCCUUUGAGACUGCAUCGCUUGAAUCCAGGAGAGGUCAGUGGAAUUCCGAGUGUAGAGGUGAAAUUCGUAGA
rnacentral:rRNA from 1 species